GUCAGUGCUGUGCCUGCAGUCCAGGCGGGAGUAGAAAUCCUGGGCCCAUCUUACCUCCGACCUCAUUUCCUCCUCUGUAAUAAUGUGGGGGUGGGGGAAAGUUCUGGUCAUCAGCCCUAGCAUUCCAUGGUUCAUUUCCUCAUCAGUGAUGGAAAAUCACCAAGCAAGAGAACAGGAUGGAGAAUAACCGGAUGGGUGCAAUCGGAGGUGCUAUUUCAGGAGCUGGCCAUUCUUCAAGUCAGAAGGCCUGAGAGAGGAGCUGCCCAGGUGGUCUUCAUGGGGCUGUGCGGCCAGUCAUCCCCCACAGGUUGACAAUCCUUGCGUACUUCAUCCUUGUUGGAUCCUCUGUAUCCCUGACGAUGAGCAACUGUGAGGCCCGUUUCAGCACUGAGUUCCAGUCAGGAAAACAUCCACCCACCCACCACACGCUCACACUUACACACACAUUCACACAUGCACACACGUUCUGGCUCCGAAAAAGAAAAAAAAAAAGCAAUUUAAAAUAAUUCUGAUCCUUUGCUUAUUUCCACAAACUCCAUGAAAAUUGUACAUUGUCCAAGCAACAUUUCUUAAUAUUCUCUUUUUCUCUCAUAUCCAUUUUCCUUACUGCUGUCUCCACCUUUCUCUUCCAAACUCCCUGUUAAAAUCCCUGCCCCAGCGAACUUUUAUUCAAUUUUGUGGAAUGGAGGCUGCUCUGAUUUAAAUUAAAAAAAAAAAAAAUCCCUACUCCAUGUCCCAGAUCCCUAGUUGUUUUUUGUUUUUUGUUUUCCUGAGACAGGGUCUUGUGUCUUCCAUGCUGGAGUGCAGUGGCAUGAUCAUGGCUCACUGCAGCCUCAACCUCCUGGGCUCAAGUAAUUCUCUUGCCUCAGCCUCCCCAGUAGCUGGGAGUUCAGGUAUGUGCUACCAUGCCUAGCUAAUUUUUUUCUUUUAUUUUGUAGAGACACGGUCUUGCCAGGUUGCCCAGGCUGGUCUAGAACCCCUGGGCUUAAGUGAUCCUCCUGCCUCGGCUUCCCAAAGUGCUGGGAUUACAAGUGUGAGGCACUGCACCCAGGCUGGAUCCCUGCAUUUUUACAGAUUUAGCAUCACAAAAGUCUAAACAAUUAGACUGACUAAGGCAGAACUGCCCUUAUGACAGCAGACAUAAGAAGGAAAAGGCCAAAACACUGUGUUAAAAAUUAUCCAAAUGUGAGGAAAAGGCAAAGAGAGUAGGUGUGCCUUUUUAGUGUCUAAGCUGCCUGCCCAAGGGGCAUCUGAUGCUCUCAGGCAGGAGUCCACAAAUUUUUUUUUGUAAAAGAUCAGAUAGUAAAUCUUUUCAGCGUGAAGAGCAUGAGGUCUCUGUCACAAAUACUCAACCACCAUUACAACAUGAAAGCAGCCAACAGACAACACAUGACAAAUGAGUGUGGCUGUGUUCCAGUAAAUCUUGAUUACAAAAACAGGCAAGAGGCCAGAGCUGACCCAUGGGCCAUAGUUUGCUGACCCCUUCUGUAAAGGAAAGUAUUUUUGUUUGACUUGCUGUUUACCAUUGAUUGAACACAAGGCUCUGUAGAGUUACUUGUUAACUUGCAGAAGAUUGAUGAGUGGCAAGUAAUUUUUAUUCACCAGAAUAUAAAAUUAUUUCUGUUCAGUAGAAAAGAUAAACCCAACUGUUAUAUUAUUGUCCUGUUUUGUAUGUAACUUUGCUUCAUUUUUUAACAAAUUAAUAUUAUUGCCCUAAUUUGUAUAUAACUAUGCUUCUUUUAAAAAUAUAUAUUUUUUAAUAAAUUUGAGACAGGGUCUCACUAGGUUGCCCAGGCUGGUCUUGAACUCCUGGCCUCAAGUGACUCUCCCACCUUAGCCUACUGCAUAGCUGGGAUUACAGGCACAAACCACUGCAUGCAGCUAACUUUGCUUCUCAUUCCAGCACUUUUUAUUCCACUGAUUAUAUGUAUAUGUAUAUCUGCAUCAUCUCUCUCUCUCUCUCUCUCUCUCUCUCUAUAUAUAUAUAUAUGGAAAUAUCUCUCUCUCUCUAUAUAUAUAUAUGGAAAUAUAUAUCUCAGUCUCUCCUAUCCUCCUUUAAUCAGUUUUGCUAUCCUGUCAAUUCCCCCAACGAGUGUGAUGUUGUGAAAUAUAUAUUUGUUCUUCAUCUCCUGUUUCCUGACAUACAGCUUUUAAAAACCCUUGGAAUCUCUGGAAUAAUAAGAGUGUCUUUUGCAUGCUAAUAGAUGACUGCUGGCUGGCAGCCCCAAUGCAGUAGCUUCAUGAUGGGGUUUGUCACAGGAAAGACCAAGGCAGGAUUGGAGACUUGAGACUGUUAGCCCCACUCCCCAACCACUGGAGGGAGUGGAGGGGCUGAAGGUUGUGUCAGUCACCAAUGGCCAAUGGUUCGGUCAAUCAUGUGUACGUAAUAAAGCCACUCUUAAAAACCCAAAAAGGACAGGGUUUGGAAGGGCUCCCAGAUAGCUGGACACAUGAAGGUUCCUGGAGGGUGGUGCCCCAGAGGGGCAUGGAAGCUCCACACCCCUUCUCACAUGCUUUGCUCUGCGCAUCUCUUCAUCUGGUGUUCAUCUGUAUCCUUUGUAAUAUCUUUUAGAAUAAACUGGUAAACUUAA